rnacentral:misc_RNA from 1 species
AAAAAACGCUAAAUGUACGACAUGGAUUUGUCAUGAAGUUGAAGUUGGUAGCCUCUUUCAACACAUUAAUCAACAAUCAAGAAAAAAAAAUUGUUAGUUUAUUGUAUUUGAUUUCAUAUUAUUAUAAUUCGUCUUUAGCGGUUCAGUUUCAGCCAUUUGUUUCAUAAUAUUAAUAUAUAUUUCUGUGCUUAUCGUGUAGCACUUUGCGUUUGCAGAUUUUGAUCAGUAUCGAAGAACGAAAUUGCAGUGAAAAAGUUAUAAUUAUGUCGUCGAACAUAAUUCACGACGCCGAUGGAUCGGCUUCGCGAAUCGUAUUGAAGGAGCAUACUGGAUCAACUGCAGAGGUGCUUUUUCAGGGUGGUCAAGUUGUUUCUUGGAAGAAUGAACGAAGAGAAGAACUGCUGUUCAGGAGUAAUAAGACCCUGUGGAAACCUCCUAAAGCCUUCAGAGGUGGAAUACCUAUCAGCUUCCCACAGUUUGGAACUUUUGGUUCUUUAGAGAGACAUGGUUUUGCAAGAAAUAGAGUGUGGGAAUUGGACGAUUCUCCUUCUCCUCUACCUGCAGCAAACAAUCAGUCAACUGUUGAUCUCAUUUUGAAAUCUACCGAAGAGGAUCUGAAGACCUGGCCGCAUAGGUUUGAGGUGCGGCUACGCAUUUCUCUCAGUGCUGGCAAGCUGACUUUGAUUCCUCGUGUCAGGAAUAUAGAUAACAAGCCAUUCUCAUUCACAUUCUCUCUGCGUAAUUAUUUAUCUGUGUCUGAUAUCAGUGAAGUGCGGGUUGAGGGCUUGGAGACACUUGACUACUUCGAUAAUUUGCAGCGGGGAGAAAGAUACACAGAGCAGGCAGAUGCAAUUACAUUUGAUAGUGAGACGGAUAGAGUAUAUCUUAGCACACCAACAAAAACUGCCAUAAUAGAUCACGAGAAGAAGAGAACUUAUGUCCUUCAGAAAGAAGGAAUGGCAGAUGCUGUUGUUUGGAAUCCUUGGGACAAAAAG